rnacentral:rRNA from 1 species
UACGUAGGGUGCGAGCGUUGUCCGGAAUUAUUGGGCGUAAAGGGCUCGUAGGCGGUUUGUCGCGUCGGGAGUGAAAACACACAGCUUAACUGUGUGCUUGCUUCCGAUACGGGCAGACUAGAGGUAUGCAGGGGAGAACGGAAUUCCUGGUGUAGCGGUGGAAUGCGCAGAUAUCAGGAGGAACACCGGUGGCGAAGGCGGGUCUCUGGGCCGAUACUGACGCUGAGGAGCGAAAGCGUGGGGAGCGAACAGG